rnacentral:lncRNA from 1 species
UCCGAAACCGCUGAGAAGAGGCAGGCAAUUGCUUUUGGUUUCUUGGCCUUCUCUUCCUCGUGUCUUUUAAUCUGGUUCAAUGUAGUAGUUUCUUGUAGUGAGGUUGGUUUGCUAUCGUGUAUAAUAACAUCCCAUAAACCCAGAGCUUUAAGGUGAGCUCGCAUCUUUAUUGCCCACAUAUGGUAAUUUUCUCCGCUGAAUGGCGGUGCAGGGGUAGUUCCUAAGGUAGCCAUCAGGUUUGAGAAAUUUUUGAUUCACUUGAUAUGUAGGAGAACCUGCCUCUGAUACCACUUGUUGGAUCGGAUGAGUAAUAGUUUCAAAAGAAGCUGAGACAGUGAGCAAAUUUAGAGAGAGAGAACUGCAAAACAGAGUCCAAGGCUACAGCACCCUCUGUUUCUUUAAUUUCAGAAGAAUUUUGUUUCUUUUUGUUUUUUUUUUUUUUUGAAGAGAGGAAAAAACUAACUUUAUUGAAUUGCACGAUUACAUUUAUAAGCACGGAGUUGUGCUUGAUUACACCAAAGAUGACCCGAUAAAAUAAAACUCAGAAAUUCAUGUUAACACGCUGCAUGGCAGCUGCGCAGGCUGCGGUGAGGCACUUUCUUCACAACCUACUUUUGAAUUUAAAUUUGAAUUAAGUAAAUAACGAAGGCCUGACAACCUACCAGUAACUUCCUGGAGUUCGAGUCUGAGGACCACACCAGACACCUUCUUGGUUGUUUGCAGAUGUUUCAGCCUCAUAACUGCUCUCACCGCGAUUCUCUGCAUUGUCUGCAUGCAUAUUAUCUGUGUCUGAGUAUGUUUAUAGGUGAAUGCAUGGGUAUGUGUUU